UACGUAGGUGACCAGCGUUGUCCGGAUUUACUGGGCGUAAAGCGCGCGCAGGCGGUCCUUUAAGUCUGAUGUGAAAGCCCACGGCUCAACCGUGGAGGGUCAUUGGAAACUGGGGGACUUGAGUACAGAAGAGAAGAGUGGAAUUCCACGUGUAGCGGUGAAAUGCGUAGAGAUGUGGAGGAACACCAGUGGCGAAGGCGACUCGUUGGUCUGUAACUGACGCUGAGGCGCGAAAGCGUGGGGAGCAAACAGG
rnacentral:rRNA from 1 species